rnacentral:rRNA from 1 species
ACGAACGCUGGCGGCGUGCCUAACACAUGCAAGUCGAGCGAGGAAUGGAGAUAGCUUGCUAACUCCUGUUUCUAGCGGCGGACGGGUGAGUAACGCGUGAGCAACCUGCCUUUAUCAGGGGGAUAACGCAUCGAAAGAUGUGCUAAUACCGCGUAAGACCACAGCCUCACAUGGGGCAGGGGUCAAAGGAGGAAUCCGGAUAAAGAUGGGCUCGCGUCCGAUUAGCUAGUUGGUGAGAUAACAGCCCACCAAGGCGACGAUCGGUAGCCGACCUGAGAGGGUGAUCGGCCACAUUGGAACUGAGACACGGUCCAGACUCCUACGGGAGGCAGCAGUGGGGAAUAUUGCACAAUGGGGGAAACCUUGAUGCAGCGACGCCGCGUGGAGGAAGAAGGUCUUCGGAUUGUAAACUCCUGUUGUUGAGGAAGAUAAUGACGGUACUCAACAAGGAAGUGACGGCUAACUACGUG